rnacentral:rRNA from 1 species
UUUCCGUAGGUGAACCUGCGGAAGGAUCAUUAUCGUAGGGCUUCGGCCCUGUCGAGAUAGAACCCUUGCCUUUUUGAGUACCUUUCGUUUCCUCGGCAGGCUCGCCUGCCAAUGGGGACCACAAAAAACACUUUGCAGUACCUGUAACAGUCUGAACAAACAAAACAAAAAUUAAAACUUUCAACAACGGAUCUCUUGGUUCUGGCAUCGAUGAAGAACGCAGCGAAAUGCGAUAAGUAGUGUGAAUUGCAGAAUUCAGUGAAUCAUCGAAUCUUUGAACGCACAUUGCGCCCUUUGGUAUUCCUUAGGGCAUGCCUGUUCGAGCGUCAUUUAAACCUUCAAGCUAAGCUUGGUGUUGGGUGACUGUCCGCUUCACUGCGGACUCGCCUCAAAAUUAUUGGCGGCCGGUACAUUGGCUUCGAGCGCAGCAGAAACGCGAACUCGGGCCCGUCGUAUUGGCUCCCAGAAGCUAUCUUCACAAUUUUGACCUCGGAUCAGGUAGGGAUACCCGCUGAACUUAAGCAUAUCAAUAAGCGG